CCGCGGUAAUACGUAGGGGGCAAGCGUUGUCCGGAAUUAUUGGGCGUAAAGCGCGCGCAGGCGGUCUUUUAAGUCAGGGGUGAAAUCCCGGAGCUCAACUCCGGAACUGCCUUUGAUACUGGCAAGCUAGAGUCCGGAAGAGGUGAGUGGAACUCCUAGUGUAGAGGUGGAAUUCGUAGAUAUUAGGAAGAACACCAGUGGCGAAGGCGGCUCACUGGUCCGGUACUGACGCUGAGGUGCGAAAGCGUGGGGAGCAAACAGG
rnacentral:rRNA from 1 species